GCCGGGCAUGGUGGCUCACGCCUGUAAUCCCAGCACUUUGGGAGGCCGAGGCAGGCGGAUCACCUGAGGUCAGGAGUUUGAGACCAGCCUGACCAACAUGGUGAAACCCUGUCUCUA
ensembl:misc_RNA Metazoa_SRP Metazoan signal recognition particle RNA